GUGUUUAAUGGGUAAACCAGGUUAGUUAACACCAGUGUGUGUUUAAUGGGUAAACCAGGUUAGUUAACACCAGUGUGUGUUUAAUGGGUAAACCAGGUUAGUUAACACCAGUGUGUGUUUAAUGGGUAAACCAGGUUAGUUAACACCAGUGUGUGUUUAAUGGGUAAACCAGGUUAGUUAACACCAGUGUGUGUUUAAUGGGUAAACCAGGUUAGUUAACACCAGUGUGUGUUUAAUGGGUAAACCAGGUUAGUUAACACCAGUGUGUGUUUAAUGGGUAAACCAGGUUAGUUAACACCAGUGUGUGUUUAAUGGGUAAACCAGGUUAGUUAACACCAGUGUGUGUUUAAUGGGUAAACCAGGUUAGUUAACACCAGUGUGUGUUUAAUGGGUAAACCAGGUUAGUUAACACCAGUGUGUGUUUAAUGGGUAAACCAGGUUAGUUAACACCAGUGUGUGUUUAAUGGGUAAACCAGGUUAGUUAACACCAGUGUGUGUUUAAUGGGUAAACCAGGUUAGUUAACACCAGUGUGUGUUUAAUGGGUAAACCAGGUUAGUUAACA